AUACGACUCUCGGCAACGGAUAUCUCGGCUCUCGCAUCGAUGAAAAACGUACCGAAAUGCGAUACUUGGUGUGAAUUGCAGAAUCCCGUGAACCAUCGAGUCUUUGAACGCAAGUUGCGCCCAAGGCCUUUCGGUCGAGGGCACAUCUGCUUGGGCGUUAAACAAC
rnacentral:rRNA from 1 species